rnacentral:rRNA from 1 species
UACGGAGGGUGCGAGCGUUGUCCGGAAUCACUGGGCGUAAAGCGUGCGCAGGCGGUUUUGUAAGUCGGAUGUGAAAUCCCCGGGCUUAACCUGGGAAUGGCAUUCGGGACUGCAAGGCUGGAGUGCGGCAGAGGAGACUGGAAUUCCUGGUGUAGCAGUGAAAUGCGUAGAUAUCAGGAGGAACACCGAUGGCGAAGGCAGGUCUCUGGGCUGACACUGACGCUCAUGCACGAAAGCGUGGGGAGCAAACAGG